rnacentral:lncRNA from 1 species
AUGAUGUUUCCUGUUGCAAGGAUGCUGCCUCCAGGAGGAAAGGAUCUGGGUGAGCUUGCUGAUAACAAUGUCACCUUGGUCAGUGUGGACUGGGCCUCUGUGGUGGAGCAAGUGCUUUUGCUGUGGCUGGAGCAGGAGGGAUAUCUGUUUGAAUGGAACUUCCUGGUCAAGUCUAGCUCAGCCACUGGUCUGGAAAUUCGGCAAAAUCAUGGAUCCUGUCUUCAAGUGAAUUCAGCUGUAGAACAGCUUCCCAGGCCUAACUCAACCAUGGAAUCAACUGGAAGGCGUUCAAAGAUGGAGCGUAUGCAUUUCAAGGAAGUGAGGACGCCAAUCUUAGGGCUGCUUGUCCUCCUGUGGAUGAGGGAACAUACAGGGAAAAUGGAGUCUUCUGAGUGA